rnacentral:rRNA from 1 species
GACGAACGCUGGCGGCGUGCUUAACACAUGCAAGUCGAACGGAAAGGCCCUGCUUUUGUGGGUUGCUCGAGUGGCGAACGGGUGAGUAACACGUGAGUAACCUGCCCUUGACUUUGGGAUAACUUCAGGAAACUGGGGCUAAUACCGGAUAGGUGCUCCUGCUGCAUGGUGGGGGUUGGAAAGUUUCGGCGGUUGGGGAUGGACUCGCGGCUUAUCAGCUUGUUGGUGGGGUAGUGGCUAACCAAGGCUUUGACGGGUAGCCGGCCUGAGAGGGUGACCGGCCACAUUGGGACUGAGAUACGGCCCAGACUCCUACGGGAGGCAGCAGUGGGGAAUAUUGCACAAUGGGCGGAAGCCUGAUGCAGCAACGCCGCGUGCGGGAUGACGGCCUUCGGGUUGUAAACCGCUUUCGCCUGUGACGAAGCGUGAGUGACGGUAAUGGGUAAAGAAGCACCGGCUAACUACGUG